AUUGAACGCUGGCGGCAGGCCUAACACAUGCAAGUCGAACGGUAACAGGAAACAGCUUGCUGUUUCGCUGACGAGUGGCGGACGGGUGAGUAAUGUCUGGGAAACUGCCUGAUGGAGGGGGAUAACUACUGGAAACGGUAGCUAAUACCGCAUAACGUCGCAAGACCAAAGAGGGGGACCUUCGGGCAUCUUGCCAUCGGAUGUGCCCAGAUGGGAUUAGGUAGUAGGUGGGGUAACGGCUCACCUAGGCGACGAUCCCUAGCUGGUCUGAGAGGAUGACCAGCCACACUGGAACUGAGACACGGUCCAGACUCCUACGGGAGGCAGCAGUGGGGAAUAUUGCACGAUGGGCGCAAGCCUGAUGCAGCAAUGCCGCGUGUAUGAAGAAGGCCUUCGGGUUGUAAAGUACUUUCAGCGGGGAGGAAGGGAGUAAAGUCAAUACCUUUGCUCAUUGACGUUACCCGCAGAAGAAGCACCGGCUAACUCCGUGCCAGCCGCCGCGGUAA
rnacentral:rRNA from 1 species